AUAUUUAAAUAAGAAUUUAUGAAUUUUGGAAAUAAAUAUAUAAUUAACGUGCAUUUAUUUAUUACAUUUUAAUAUUUUCAACGAUUUACGAAAUCGAAAAUGAUUUUAGAAUUUUAAGUUGAAAAGAAUUUGAAUUACGAAAAUUGAUUGAAUUUAGAAAACGAUCCUAUUCAAUUUUGGACUCGAAUCAUAAAAGCUAAAUCCUACUCCUAGCCCAAUUGGGGAAAGCCCAAACCAAUAAAACCCAAACCAAUACUCCCUUCCCUUUUCUAAUUCACGUGAGACCAAAGGAAACAACAAAAAAAAAAAAAAAGAAAAAAAAAAAACCCUCUCCCUCCUUCAACCUCACGUACAACACCAAACACUCAUCCCUCUCAGCCGUUCUCUCUCCUCCCUUCACGUCCGCCGCUUCUGCCAAGCCGUCGGACCGCCGUUGCUUCACCACCGUCGACGUGCUCCUCUCCCCUUUGCCGCCAGCCGCCGCGUGCGCAGCCGCGACCCCCAGGCCAACCACCACCUGCAUCUUCGUCGCAGCCCUGCCCAGCCGACACCCUCUUCGAUCUCUCUCCUCCUUCGCGUAGAAACCAUCUCCUCCCCUGCUUGUUUCUUGCGCAAGCCAGCCGGCCGCCGCCAUAACAUUGUCGUUGCCGUGCCGCCGCGCCACAGCACCACCUCCGGCCAACCACUCUCCCUUCCCUCUCUCUUUUGGCGGAGAAUUCUCUGUAGGCGACUUUUGAAUUAUUAAAGUGGUCUUGCAGUUUGUUUACACAAGUCUCUAAGGAUCAAUAAGCAUUGUCCAUCUGCAGGUUUGAAGAUGUUGCAUCAUUGGGAUCGGGAAUAGAGAGCUUGUAUUUAGUUUUGAUUUGCUAAGUUAACUUGGGUUUGUUAAUUGGGACUUUAAACUUGUCGUACUAUUUAUAUUUCCUUAUUUUCGUUGGUUGAUUUUUGGGGACUAAAUCUGUAAUCGAUUAUUUAUAAACCUAAAGCUAGUUUUAUGUUUUCCGCUGCAAAAUUCUGAAUAAGCCGUUACGUUUUCACACGGGCGAUAAUGCCUUGAUAAUUCUCUACGUUUUAUAUUAAAAGAUUAUUUUAGAAAAGAGAGAAUUGUCGGGGUGUUACAAAGUGGUAUCUAGAAGCUAAGGUUUUACUUUAAUAAAUUUUUAGGCGCCUAACUAUCUAGUUAUUUAAAAUAAAUUUCUUAAAAAUCGAGAUUCUACGUAUUAUAGACUUAUAGUGUUCAAAAAUUGGUACU